AUUCGCAACUCACAAAGGGACCGAGACAAUAUUUCCUUCUCCUUCCUGUCACUUCUUCAAACCGUCCGCUUCUCUUGGCCGUUUUCUCUCUGUACAGAUCAAAGCAGAUACAGGUUUCGAGUUACAACAAACCCUAACUCUAACCAGAAUUACAAAUUUCAUUCAGUCUAAUACACUACUUCGCCACUCUUCAAUGGCGGUUCUUCUACAUCGAUCGUCGUCAAUCUGCUAAAAGAUAUUCAACUUUGAUCAAGCACCAUGUUCGAAGCUCACGUUCUUCACUUGCUUCGAAGAUAUUUGGGUGAAUACGUCCAUGGGCUCUCAGGAGAGGCAUUGAGGAUCAGUGUUUGGAAAGGCGAUGUUGUCCUCAAAGAUUUGAGGUUGAAGGCAGAGGCACUAAAUGCACUGAAACUCCCAGUCACUGUCAAAGCUGGUUUUGUUGGUACUAUUACAUUAAAGGUUCCAUGGAAAAGUUUGGGUAAGGAACCUGUGAUUGUUCUCAUUGAUCGUGUCUUUAUUCUUGCUCAUCCUGCUUCUGUUGGUCAGAUUCUCAAGGAGGAGGAUAGGAUAAAGCUUUUUGAAACCAAACUUCAACAGAUUGAAGAAUCAGAACUGACAAUCCUUGAAGGAAUAUCUAGGUCAAAGUUGGGAAAUCCUCCUCCUGGAAAUUCAUGGCUAGGCUCUUUGAUUGCCACUAUUAUUGGAAAUCUUAAGAUUUCAAUCACCAAUGUCCACGUCAGAUUUGAGGAUGAGGUCAGCAAUCCAAGGCAUCCAUUUUCUUUUGGUGUUACCUUAGCCAAACUGGCAGCUGUCACAAUGGAUGAGCAGGGAAAUGAAACGUUUGACACCAGUGGUGCACUGGAUAAAUUGCGGAAGUCAUUGCAGCUUGAAAGACUUGCUAUUUAUCACGAUUCCAACAGCCUUCCUUGGAAGAUAGAAAAGAGAUGGGAAGAUCUCAAUCCCAAGGAAUGGGUCGAGAUAUUUGAAGAAGGUAUAAAUGGACCUUCUAGUGGCUAUGGAACGGUGUCUAAAUGGGCUGUUAAUCGUAACUAUCUGCUGGCACCAAUCAAUGGAGUCCUCAAAUAUCAUCGUCUUGGAAAACAGGAAAGGGUUGAUCCUGAAAUUCCAUUUGAGAGGGCUUCUCUUGUUUUAAGUGAUGUCUCGUUAACAAUUACAGAGACACAAUAUCAUGAUUGGAUAAAACUUCUGGAAGUCUUUUCAAGAUACAAGAAAUAUAUUGAAAUUUCUCAUUUAAGACCUGAGGUGCCUGUUUCAAAGAAUCCUAAACUGUGGUGGCGUUAUGCUGCUCUAGCUGUCCUGCAGCAGAAGCAGAUGUGCUACAGAUUGUCAUGGGACCGAAUCAAACAUCUCUGUCAGCUUCGUCGCCGUUAUGUUCAGUUGUAUGCUAGUUCACUUCAACAAUCAUCUACCGAUGCCUCAGAGCUUAGAGAAAUGGAGAAAGAUCUUGAUUCCAAAGUUAUUCUUUUAUGGAGGUUACUUGCUCAUGCUAAGGUUGAAUCUGUAAAAUCAAAGGAAGCAGCUGAACAGAGGAGGCUUAAAAAGAAAAGCUGGUUCUCAUUUAGAUGGAGCACAGACUCUGAAGAUGACAAUAGUGUGGAUGCUUCGGAGGGGUCAGAGUUAACAGAAGAAAGACUGACUAAAGAAGAAUGGCAGGCAAUUAAUAAUUUACUUAGUUACCAGCCUGACGAGGAGUUAAUGCCGCAUAUAGGAAAAGACAUGCAGAAUAUGAUUAAACAUUUGGUGACUGUAUCUAUCGGGCAGGCUGCUGCCAGGAUUGUUGAUAUAAAUCAAAGGGAGAUUAUUUGCGGUAGAUUUGAGCAAUUAUACGUGUCAACAAAGUUUAAAAAUCGAAGUACCCACUGUGAUGUGUUGCUGAAAUUCUAUGGUUUAUCUGCACCUGGAGGUUCACUUGCCCAGAGUGUAUCUAGCGAGCAGAAGGUGAAUGCAUUAUCUGUUAGUUUUGUACACUCACCAGUUGGGGAGAAUGUUGAUUGGAGGCUGUCAGCUGCUAUUUCUCCUUGCCAUGUUACGGUUAUGAUGGAAAGCUUUGAUCAUUUUUUUGAGUUUCUGAAGAGAAGUAAUGCAGUCAGCCCUACUGUUGCUCUGGAAACUGCAAAUGCUUUGCAGAUGAAGAUUGAAAAAGUGACUCGUCAAGCACAGGAACAAUUUCAGAUGGUGUUAGAGGAACAGAGCAGAUUUGCUCUUGACAUAGAUUUGGGCGCUCCAAAAGUCAGGGUUCCUAUAAGGAACGCUGGUUCUUCAAAUUGUGAUGUGCAUUUUGUUUUGGAUUUCGGUCAUUUUACAUUGCAAACUGCGGAAAAUCAGUCUGAUGAACAAAGGCAGAGUCUGUAUUCUCGUUUCUACAUAUCUGGAAGAGAUAUUGCUGCAUUCUUUACAAAUUGUGAUUCUGAUUAUCAGAAUCCUACGGUGGUUGUACCAAAAGAUAAUAGUCAUGCAAGAGCAUCUUGCAUUCCCAAAAAAAAUGAUAUUUACUAUUCUCUCAUUGAUAGGUGUGGAAUGGCAGUAAUUGUUGAUCAGAUCAAAGUACCUCACCCAAGUUAUCCUUCAACACGCAUAUCUGUUCAAGUGCCAAAUCUUGGCAUUCAUUUUUCACCAGCGAGAUAUUGUAGACUUGUAGAAUUGUUGAAUAUGUUGUAUCGCACAAUGGAAAAAUGUGGCCAAUCAGCUGUUGAUAAUUUUCAAGCUGAAUUUUCUCCUUGGAGUUCUGCAGAUAUUGCUACUGAUGCUCGAAUCCUUGUCUGGAAGGGGAUUGGCAAUUCUGUUGCUACAUGGCAGCCCUGUUUUCUUGUGUUAUCUGGACCUUUUCUUUAUGCUACGGAAUCUCGGAGGUCCCUGGGCUACCAGCGGUGCUUGAGUAUGGCCGGUAGACAGGUGAAUGAUGUUCCUCUGUCAAAUGUUGGUGGCUCCCCAUUCUGUGUUGCUGUCUACAAUAGGGGAAUGGACCUUCAACAGGCAUUGGAAUUUUCUAGCACCUGGAUUUUAGAGUUUCGAGAUGAAGAAGAGAAAGCAAUUUGGUUUAAAGGACUUGUGCAGUCUACAUAUAAAGCUUCUGUUCCUUCAUCAGUUAAUGUACUUGAAGAAACAAAUGAAAUUGCAGGUGAAUUUGGUGAACCCCGGAGCGCAGAUUUGAAAACAGCUGACCUUGUCAUUAAUGGGGCACUAGUAGAGACAAAGUUUUACAUAUAUGGAAAGACUAGCGAUGAAAUUGAUGAGAAACUUGAGGAGACUCUAAUUAUCGAGAUUCUUUUUGGUGGGGGAAAGGUGUACAUGAUUCGUUCGGAGGGUGACCUGACAGUCAAAGUGAAGUUGCACUCUUUGAAAAUUAAAGAUGAACUUCAAGGUUGUGUGUCUACAGAACCUCAGUAUUUGGCCUGUUCUGUGCUGAAAAUGGAUAAGACAGUCUCUUCUCCUUGCCCUCCAGACCUGGAAGAGAGAGAUAUGUCUUUUGUACCUCCUGAUGAUGAAGAUAAUUUUACGGAUGCUUUGCCCGAUUUUCUGUCAUCUGAUUCUGGUGUUUAUUCACCAAGGAUGAAUAUAUCUCAUUUUGGAAUUUGGGGAGAUACCAAUGAAUCUUCUGAAUUUGAUUCUGCGGACGCUUUAAUGCAUGAACAGGGUCUGUUACAAGGAAAGCAAAUUUCGAAUGAGAUAUUUUAUGAGGCAGAGGGUGGUGAUAGUUUGCAUUUCGUAUCUGUUAUCUUUUCAACAAAGAGUUCCUCUUCAUCUGAUUAUGAUGGUGUAGAUACGCAGAUGAGCGUUCGCAUGUCCAAACUGGAGUUCUUUUGUAACAGACCUACGCUUGUUGCUUUAAUUGGUUUUGGCUUUGAUCUAACUAAUGCAACUUCUGCUCAAAGUAGCACAGAUGUCGCUGGCGUCACAGAUGAUAAAUCUUUGAUUAACAAAGAAAAAACUGAAGAUAGUGGGCGAGUUAAAGGAUUUCUGGGGUAUGGUAAAAAUCGCGUUGUAUUUGAUCUGAACAUGAAUGUUGACAGUGUCACUGUCUCUCUCAACAAAGAAGAUGGUUCCCAGUUUGCUGUGCUUGUGCAAGAGAGUUUCCUGUUGGAUUUUAAGCUCCAUCCAGGUUCUCUUUCUAUUGAAGGCACAUUAGGAAAUUUCAGAUUAUGUGAUAUGUCAUUUGGAGCAGAUCAUUGGUGGAGUUGGCUUUGUGAUAUCCGUAAUCCAGGGCUUGAAUCGCUUAUAAAGUUCAAGUUUAGUUCUUACAGUGCUGAGGAUGAUGAUUAUGAAGGAUAUGAUUAUAGUUUGAGUGGCCGGCUAUCAGCCGUACGCAUUGUUUUCCUCUAUAGAUUUGUGCGAGAGGUUACUGUGUACUUUAUGGAACUUGCAACUCCACAUACUGAAGAAGUAAUUAAGCUCGUCGAUAAAGUUGGAGGUUUUGAGUGGUUAAUUCAGAAAGACGAGAUUGAUGGAGCCACUGCAUUAAAGCUGGACCUCUCACUUGACACUCCGAUUAUCAUUGUGCCACGAAAUUCUAUGAGCAAAGAUUUCAUUCAACUUGAUCUGGGCCAUUUAGAAGUGACAAAUGAAUUUAGUUGGCAUGGCUGCCCAGAGAAAGACCCUUCAGCUGUACACAUGGAUGUUCUUCAUGCUAAGAUUCUGGGAAUCAACAUGUCUGUUGGACUUGAUGGUUGUUUAGGUAAGCCUAUGAUACGGGAAGGAAAAGGACUAGAUAUUUAUGUGCGUCGAAGUUUGCGGGAUAUCUUCAGGAAAGUACCAACAUUUUCUCUUGAAGUAAAGGUGGAUUUCCUUCAUGGAGUCAUGUCUGAUAAAGAAUAUAAUGUAAUUCUUAGUUGCACAUCUAUGAAUUUAUCUGAAGAGCCAAUGCUUCCUCCAACUUUUCGUGGUAGCCAAGCUGGUUCAAAAGAUACAAUGGGAUUGCUGGUAGACAAGGUCAAUUUGAAUAGUCAAAUCCUAUUUUCUCAAACUGUUAACAUAAUGGCAGUUGAUAUCGGUUACGCACUGUUGGAGCUCUGUAAUGGUGUUCAUGAGUCACCUUUAGCUCAUCUUGCUCUGGAAGGUCUAUGGGUUUCAUACCGAACAUCUUCAUUGUCAGAAACAGAUCUCUACAUAACUAUUCCUAAAUUCUCUAUCUUGGACAUUCGUCCUGUUACAAAACCUGAAAUGCGCCUGAUGCUCGGAUCAUCCACCGAUGCUUCAAAACAAGUUUCUAGUGGAAAUUUUUCUCAUUCACUGAGCAGGGGCAGCUUUAGGAGGAUGCAGUCUGAUUAUGGCUUUGAUGUGGAUGUUCCAUAUUCAACAAUGUUUUUGAUGGACUAUAGAUGGCGAGUUUCCUCCCAAUCAUGUGUGGUUCGGGUCCAACAACCUCGUGUUCUUGCUGUACCAGAUUUUCUUCUAGCUGUGGGAGAGUUUUUUGUGCCAUCUUUGGGGGCAAUAACUGGAAGAGAGGAAACCAUGGAUCCUAAGAAGGAUCCCAUCUGUAAAAACAAUAGUAUAGUACUUACGGAACCAGUUUACAGACAGAGUGAAGAUGUGGUGCACUUGUCUCCUAAUAGGCAGUUAAUAGUAGAUUACAAGGGAGUUGAUGAAUAUACAUAUGAUGGGUGUGGAAAUGUUAUCUUCCUAAAUGAGGAAAACAAUGUCAAGGAAUUUCAUUCAUUGAGAUCCCGACCAAUCAUAAUAAUUGGACGUGGUAAGAGGCUGCGGUUUGUUAACGUAAAGAUUGAGAAUGGUUCCCUUCUGAGGAAGUAUGCAUACUUGAGUAAUGAUAGCAGUUAUUCAAUCGCCAUUGAAGAUGGUGUUGAUAUUUUGUUGGUGGACAAUUCUUCAUCUGAUGAUGACAAGAAGAUUCUGGAUGAUGUUCAUAAAUUAUCAAACACUUCAAAUACUUCUGACUCUCAAAAUGAUUCAAGUGGAGUGCAGAGCUUCACCUUUGAAGCCCAGGUUGUUUCUCCUGAGUUUACCUUCUAUGAUGGUACAAAAUCUUCAUUGGAUGACUCUUCAUAUGGGGAAAAACUUCUGCGUGCAAAAAUGGAUUUGAGUUUCAUGUAUGCCUCAAAAGAUAAUGAUACCUGGAUUCGUGCUCAGGCGAAGGAUCUGACAGUUGAGGCUGGUUCUGGUCUCAUGAUUCUGGAUCCGGUAGAUAUUUCAGGGGCAUACACAUCUGUGAAGGAGAAGACGAAUAUGUCUUUGACAUCUACAGAUAUAUGCUUCCAUCUUUCCUUGGGUGCUAUUUCUCUUUUACUUAACUUGCAGAAUCAAGCUGCUGCAGCAUUACAAUUUGGAAAUGCUAUUCCCUUGGCACCUUGUAUAAACUAUGACCGGAUUUGGGUCUCCCCUAAAGAAAAUGGGCCUCGUAAUAAUCUUACCUUCUGGAGACCUCAACCUCCAUCAAAUUAUGUUAUAUUGGGAGAUUGUGUGACAUCAAGGACAAUUCCUCCUUCACAAGCUGUCAUGGCAGUAAGUAACACAUAUGGACGUGUGAGAAAGCCAAUUGGAUUCAAUCUUGUUGCCUCCUUCUCAGAAAUUCAAGGAGUUGGAGGUGCAGGCUCUUCUGAUUCUGAUAGUGAUUGUUCUCUUUGGAUGCCUAUUGCUCCAGCAGGAUACACUGCAUUGGGUUGUGUAGUGAAUGUUGGAAACCAACCACCAGCAAAUCAUAUUGUUUAUUGCCUACGGUCUGACCUUAUAACAUCCACAUCUUAUUCAGAAUGCAUAUAUAGUGUGCCACCAAAUCCUUUAUCUGCAUCUGGGUUCAGUAUCUGGCGAAUGGACAAUGUUAUUGCAUCUUUUUUUGCCUAUUCUUCAACUGAUUUACCGCCCAGAGUCAGUUGUUGUGACCUAAGUCAUCUUCUCCUCUGGAACUCUAUUCGGCAUCAUUCUCCCACUAAAGAAAUCGCGUCAGAUUUAACUGGUGACUAUGGCCAUAAAAAUCAGGGAAUAGGUAGUGAGAAUGCAGGUUCAUCUGGAUGGGACCUUAUCAGAUCAAUUUCAAAAGCAUCUAAUUGCUACAUAUCGACUCCCAAUUUUGAGAGAAUAUGGUGGGAUAAAGGUAGUGAUGUACGGCGACCCGUUUCCGUAUGGAGGCCGAUAGCACGUCCUGGUUAUGGCAUACUGGGAGAUUGCAUUACCGAAGGCUUGGAACCACCUGCUUUGGGCCUAAUUUUUAGGGCUGAUAAUCCUGAUAUCUCUUCAAGGCCUGUCCAGUUUACUAAAGUUGCACAUAUUGUGGGGAAAGGCAUUGAUGAAGUCUUUUUCUGGUAUCCAAUUGCUCCUCCUGGUUAUGCUUCAUUAGGAUGUUUGGUAACCAAAACAGAUGAAGCUCCUGGAUUAGCUCUAGUGUGCUGCCCAAGGAUGCAUCUUGUUAACCAAGUAAAUAUAAUUGAGGUGCCCAUAUCAAGAUCUUCAAGCUCAAAAGUGUCUCAAUGCUGGAGCAUUUGGAAAGUUGAAAAUCAGGCAUGCACUUUUCUUGCCCGCUCUGAUCUUAAAAAGCCGUCAAAUCGGUUGGCUUUUGCAAUUGGUGAUUCUAUGAAGCCAAAGUUAAAGGAAAAUGUAACUUCUGAGUUGAAGAUAAGAAGCUUCUCUGUAACUGUUUUAGACAGCCUAUGUGGAAUGAUGAAACCUCUAUUUGAUACUACAAUAACCAAUAUCAAGCUUGCAACACAUGGUCGACUAGAGGCAAUGAAUGCUGUACUUAUUUCCUCUAUUGCUGCGUCAACCUUCAAUGCACAAUUAGAAGCUUGGGAGCCACUUGUGGAACCAUUUGAUGGAAUCUUCAAGUUUGAAACAUAUGAAACCAAUGAACAUCCACCAUUAAGACUGGCAAAGAAAGUACGUAUUGCUGCAACCAGCAUCCUGAAUGUAAAUGCCAGUGCAGCCAGCAUUGAAACUUUUGUAGGGACCAUCGUUUCUUGGAGGAAGCAGCUAGAACUUGAUCAGAAAGCAAUAAAGCUAAAUGAGGAAACUAGUGGCCAUCACAAACAUGAAGUGGAUCCAACUUAUUCUGCUUUGGAUGAAGAUGAUUUUCAGACUGUUACAAUAGAAAAUGAACUCGGAUGUAAUAUUUAUCUGAAGAGGGUUGAGGAUGAUAUGACUGAAGUUGAAGAACUAUAUCAUGGUGGCUGUGCUUCUGUUUGGAUUCCACCUCCAAGAUUUUCUGACAGGUUAAAAUUUGCGGAUGAAUCUAGGGAACCACGCUGUUAUGUUGUUGUCAAGAUACUUGAAGCCAAGGGUUUGCCCAUCAUUGAUGAUGGUAAUGGCCAUAACUUCUUUUGUGCUCUACGUCUUGUCAUUGGUAGUAAGGGGACAGAUCAACAAAAGUCUUUUCCUCAGAGUGCAAGGACAAAAUGUGUGAGGCCUGUACUUCCAACAAUCAAACAAGUGAAUUAUGGCUAUGCAAAGUGGAAUGAACUUUUCAUCUUUGAAAUUCCUCAAAAGGGGAUGGCUAAGUUAGAAGUGGAGGUCACGAAUCUAGCAGCAAAAGCUGGAAAAGGUGAAGUUGUUGGUGCACUAUCACUGCCUGUUGGACAUGGAACAGUAAUGUUGAAGAAACUUGCCUCAGCUAGGAUGUUACAUCAACCCAGUAGUGUCCAGAAUACAGUUUCGUAUCCUCUGCGAAGAAGGGUUCAGCAAGACAAUGUUCAAGACUUAAAUGAUUGUGGCUACCUGUCAGUUUCGACUACUUAUUUCGAAAGGAAUAUGGUAUCGAACUUUCACGGAGACAAAGAAACUGAAUAUUCUACUCAUAGGGACAUAGGUUUCUGGAUUCGUCUUAGUCCUGAUAGUGCUUGGGAGGGUAUUCGUUCAGUGCUUCCACUGUCCGUGGUUCCAAAAUCAUUAGAAAAUGAUUUUAUUGCCAUGGAGGUGGUAAUGAAAAAUGGCAAGAAGCAUGUGAUUUUCAGAGGUCUUGCAACAGUAGUGAAUGAUUCAGAUAUUACAUUGGAUAUUUCUAUAUAUCACGCGUCUUUGGCUUCCUCCUCAGGGAGAAGCAACAUUAAAAUUGUGAUAGAAGAGGUCUUUGAAAAUCAAUGUUAUCAUCCUAUAUCUGGUUGGGGUAACAAGUGGUCCGGCCUUAGAAGUAAUGAUCUAGGGCGAUGGAGCACCAGGGACUUCUCAUAUACAUCAAAUGAUUUUUUUGAACCUUCCCUUCCUUCUGGAUGGCAAUGGACGUCUGCAUGGAUUAUUGAUAAAUCUGCCCCUGUUGAUGAUGAUGGGUGGGCAUACGGGCCUGACUUCCACAGUUUGAAAUGGCCUCCAACUCCAAAAUCAGGCAUAAAAUCUGCUCCUGAUAUUGUGCGUCGUAGGCGUUGGAUUCGCAGGAGGCAACAGUUAAUCGGGCAUGGACUAAGUAGCAUGCAUGGAAAUUUAAUUUCCAUAAGUCCUGGAUCUUCUGCUGUUUUACCAUGGAGAAGCACAUCCAAAGAUUCUGACCAGUGCUUACAAGUCCGUCCUCAUGUCGAUCAUAGUCAGUCUGCAUAUUCAUGGGGCCGCUCAGUUACUUUUGGUUCUGGCUAUGCUUUUGGAAAGGAGCAGGCUUUUAUUGAACAAGGCUUGGUCAGUAGACAGAAUGCUUCAAAACUGGGAAACAAAAUGCCUAAUGCUUUCAAGUUGAACCAGCUCGAGAAGAAGGAUGCUCUUUUUUGUUGUUCUUCUGGUAUUGGAAGUAAACAAUUUUGGCUGAGCAUAGGUGCCGAUGCUUCAAUUCUUCACACUGAACUGAAUGCUCCUGUUUAUGAUUGGAGAAUAUCUAUUAAUUCUCCAUUGAAGUUGGAAAACCAACUUCCUUGUUCAGCUGAAUUCACAAUUUGGGAAAAAACAGAUGACGACGGUUGCGUUGAGCGCCAGCAUGGUAUCAUCCCUUCACGCAAGGGAGUACAUAUAUAUUCAGCAGAUAUCCAUAAACCUAUCUAUCUCACAUUGCUGGUUCAGGGUGAUUGGCUUUUGGAAAAGGACCGUAUUCUUGUUUUGGAUCUUACUAGCAGUGAUCACAUCUCAUCAUUUUGGAUGGUCCAGCAGCGAAGUAAAAGGAGAGUGCGUGUUAGCAUUGAACGAGAUAUGGGAGGGACCAUUUCGGCACCCAAAAUAAUCAGGUUCUUUGUUCCAUAUUGGAUAGUAAAUGAUUCAUCUCUGCCAUUAGCAUAUAGAAUGGUGGAAGUUGAGCCACUGGAUAAUGCAGAUAGAUCUGUCAAGCCUGCAAAAACAGCCUCGAAAAAUGCCACAAACUCAAUGGAAAGGAGACUUUCCGUUGCAAAGCGAAACCUCCAAGUACUUGAAGUAAUUGAGGAUACUAGCCCACUACCUAGCAUGCUUUCUCCACAAGACUCGGCAGGUCGUAGUGGGAUUAUGUUAUUUCCAUCCCAGAAAGACACAUAUAUGUCCUCACGAGUGGGUCUUGCCGUUGCUAUUCGUCAUUCUGAACUCUAUAGUCCAGGAAUUUCUCUGCUUGAGCUGGAAAAGAAGGAAAGGGUUGAUGUCAAGGCAUUUAGUUCAGAUGGAUCUUACUACGAGCUUUCCGUAGUACUUAAGACCUCAGAGAGGACAAAGGUUGUUCAUUUUCAGCCACACACCUUGUUUGUCAAUAGAGUUGGGUUCAGUGUCUGCCUACAGCAGUGUGAUUCUCAGUUGUUGGAAUGGAUUCAUCCCACAGAUCCUCCAAAAUCAUUUGGAUGGCAAUCUUCUUCCCAAGUUGAGCUGUUGAAGUUGCGGGUAGAAGGGUACAAUUGGAGCACACCAUUUAGCGUUUGCAGUGAAGGCAUGAUGCACGUUUCUUUGAAGAAAGAUACUGGGGGAGAUCAAAUGCAGUUGAGGAUACAAGUACGAAGUGGCACAAAAAGCUCCCGCUAUGAAGUUAUUUUCCGUCCAAACUCUUCAUCCAGUCCUUACAGGAUUGAAAAUCGUUCUAUGUUUUUACCCAUUCGCUUUCAGCAAGUGGAUGGUGUCAGUGAUUCAUGGAACCUUCUUCUUCCUAACGCAGCUGCUUCGUUCUUGUGGGAAGAUCUUGGUAGAAGGCGGCUGUUAGAGCUGUUUGUAGAUGGGACUGAUUCAUCAAAAUCACUGAUAUACAAUAUUGAUGAGAUUUCUGAUAACUUGCCUAUCCAUAUGGGUGGUGGACCAGCUAGAGCUUUACGUGUCACUAUUGUAAAGGAAGAUAAACUGAAUGUUGUUAAGAUCAGUGAUUGGAUGCCAGAAAAUGAAUCUAUUUCUCUUGUAAGUUCAGGAGCCCCAGUUAGGUUGUCACAGCUUGGUGGAAACGAGACUCAGCAACAGCAAUUCUUAUCUGCGACAGAUUGUGAAUUUCAUGUUGUUCUUGAGCUUGCUGAGCUGGGAAUAUCUGUUAUUGACCACACACCUGAAGAAAUUUUAUAUUUGUCCGUACAGAAUGUUCUUCUAGCAUACUCUACUGGCCUGGGAUCUGGGUUCAGUAGGUUCAAAUUGAGAAUGCAUGGAAUACAAGUAGAUAACCAGCUUCCAUUAACUCCAAUGCCAGUUCUCUUGCGGCCACAGAAAGUAGGGGAUGAGGCAGAUUAUAUCUUGAAGUUUUCAAUGACAUUGCAAUCGAAUGGUUCAUUAGAUCUUUGUGUUUAUCCAUACAUUGGUUUUAGUGGACCUGAUACUUCUGCUUUCUUAAUAAACAUUCAUGAACCAAUUAUCUGGCGCCUUCAUGAGAUGAUUCAGCAGGUCAAUCUCAAUCGGUUGUAUGAUACUCAAACAACUGCUGUUUCGGUUGAUCCAAUAAUUCAAAUUGGUGUCCUGAACAUCUCGGAAGUUCGAUUCAAAGUUUCAAUGGCUAUGUCACCUGGUCAACGACCAAGGGGAGUUCUUGGUUUCUGGUCAUCCUUGAUGACUGCUUUGGGAAACACUGAAAAUAUGCCAGUGAGAAUAAACCAAAGAUUUCAUGAGAAUAUUUGCAUGAGGCAGAGUGCUAUGAUUAGCAUUGCUAUUUCAAAUAUUAAAAAGGAUGUUCUUGGUCAACCUCUUCAACUGCUCUCUGGUGUUGAUAUAUUGGGUAAUGCAAGCAGUGCCCUUGGACAUAUGAGUAAAGGUGUUGCCGCUUUAUCAAUGGACAAGAAGUUCAUCCAAAGUAGACAGAGACAGGAGAAUAAAGGUGUAGAGGAUCUUGGUGAUGUUAUCAGGGAGGGAGGCGGUGCUCUAGCAAAGGGACUUUUUAGAGGAGUCACUGGCAUUUUGACAAAGCCUCUUGAGGGUGCAAAAACAUCUGGAGUUGAGGGUUUUGUUCAGGGUGUUGGAAAAGGAAUAAUAGGUGCAGCUGCUCAACCUGUUAGUGGAGUUUUGGAUCUUUUGUCAAAGACCACUGAAGGUGCCAAUGCUUUUAGAAUGAAGAUAGCAUCUGCUAUAACUUCAGAGGAACAAUUGCUUCGCAGGAGACUUCCUCGUGUAAUUGGUGGUGAUAAUUUGCUUCGACCUUACAAUGAGUACAAAGCCCAAGGGCAGGUUAUACUGCAGCUGGCAGAAUCAGGUUCAUUUUUCAGUCAGGUUGAUCUUUUUAAAGUACGGGGGAAAUUUGCCUUGUCAGAUGCUUAUGAAGAUCACUUUAUGCUCCCUAAGGGAAAAGUUGUUGUGGUGACCCAUCGAAGAAUAAUUUUAUUACAACAACCCUCCAAUAUUAUUGGUCAGAGAAAAUUCAGCCCAGCAAGGGAUCCAUGUUCAGUGUUGUGGGAUGUACUAUGGAAUGACUUAGUGACUAUGGAAUUGACUCACGGAAAGAAAGACCACCCAAAAGCUCCGGCUUCCCGGCUGAUACUUUAUUUAAGGAGUAGACCAGCAGAGGGUAAGGAACACGCUCGGAAAAUAAAAUGUAACCGUGAAACUGAUCAGGCUCUUGAAGUCUACUGUUCAAUUGAGCGAGCAUUGAACACUUACGGGAAGAACCUAUCAAAGGAAAUGCUGAAAAAUAGAGUGAUGAAGCCAUAUACGCCAGGUGCAGAAGCAGCCAAUGUUGAAGUGAUGCCAAAAGAAGGGCCUUACUCCUGGUCUCCCCAGCAGAUGCCUCCAUUACUUCCUAUGAAUUCAGCUUUUGGUAGCAGCCCGAAUUGAUUUGGCGACCCAGUGCCUGUGGGCGGUUUUCAUUUUAGCUUUCUGCUGAAAUCAGUGUUUUGUGCAGGUAUGGACCAGAAGCAUGGGUUUGAAUGGGGAUCAACCAAAAUGCAACAAGGUUUCUCGUGCAAGAGUGUAAAUUUUAGGAUUGUCAAAAAAAUCAAAAUUUUUGAUGAUUAAAGCUUGUGCAGAAAAUACCUAGUUAAAAAGUACAUAUGGUAGCUCUCUGAGAUGUAUAGUUAUUGAUAGUUUCUUGUGCACGCCUAUUAUUGUCGCCCCUUUGUGCAUGGUGACGAAACUUUUGCAAUUGUGAACAUUAACUAGCCAGUAGUAUGCAUCGCUUAUUACAAGCAUAACUCUUUUAUUGCAGUUAGUAUUGCAUGGAUAUAAAUAAUACUGUAAAUAAUGCCGUAACGUGGGUAAAUAUUGUUUCAGAA